UGGGGAAUAUUGCACAAUGGGCGCAAGCCUGAUGCAGCCAUGCCGCGUGUAUGAAGAAGGCCUUCGGGUUGUAAAGUACUUUCAGCGGGGAGGAAGGCGAUAAGGUUAAUAACCUUGUCGAUUGACGUUACCCGCAGAAGAAGCACCGGCUAACUCCGUGCCAGCAGCCGCGGUAAUACGGAGGGUGCAAGCGUUAAACGGAAUUACUGGGCGUAAAGCGCACGCAGGCGGUCUGUCAAGUCGGAUGUGAAAUCCCCGGGCUCAACCUGGGAACUACAUUCGAAACUGGCAGGCUAGAGUCUUGUAGAGGGGGGUAGAAUUCCAGGUGUAGCGGUGAAAUGCGUAGAGAUCUGGAGGAAUACCGGUGGCGAAGGCGGCCCCCUGGACAAAGACUGACGCUCAGGUGCGAAAGCGUGGGGAGCAAACA
rnacentral:rRNA from 1 species